rnacentral:rRNA from 1 species
GGCAACAGCUCAAAUUUGAAAGCUGGCCUUCGGGUCCGCAUUGUAAUUUGUAGAGGAUGCUUUGGGGCAGCCGCCUGUCUAAGUUCCUUGGAACAGGACGUCAUAGAGGGUGAGAAUCCCGUAUGUGACAGGACAUGGCACCCUAUGUAAAGCUCCUUCGACGAGUCGAGUUGUUUGGGAAUGCAGCUCUAAAUGGGAGGUAAAUUUCUUCUAAAGCUAAAUACCGGCGAGAGACCGAUAGCGCACAAGUAGAGUGAUCGAAAGAUGAAAAGCACUUUGGAAAGAGAGUUAAAAAGCACGUGAAAUUGUUGAAAGGGAAGCGCUUGCAAUCAGACUUGUUUAAACUGUUCGGCCGGUCUUCUGACCGGUUUACUCAGUUUGGACAGGCCAGCAUCAGUUUCGGCGGCCGGAUAAAGGCCCUAGGAAUGUGACCCCCUCUUCGGAGGGGGUGUUAUAGCCUGGGGUGUAAUACGGCCAGCCGGGACUGAGGUCCGCGCUUCGGCUAGGAUGCUGGCGUAAUGGUUGUAAGCGACCCGUCUUGAAACACGGACCAAGGAGUCUAACAUCUAUGCGAGUGUUC